GACGAACGCUGGCGGCGUGCUUAACACAUGCAAGUCGAACGGAAAGGCCCUGCUUUUGUGGGGUGCUCGAGUGGCGAACGGGUGAGUAACACGUGAGUAACCUGCCCUUGACUUUGGGAUAACUUCAGGAAACUGGGGCUAAUACCGGAUAGGAGCUCCUGCUGCAUGGUGGGGGUUGGAAAGUUUCGGCGGUUGGGGAUGGACUCGCGGCUUAUCAGCUUGUUGGUGGGGUAGUGGCUUACCAAGGCUUUGACGGGUAGCCGGCCUGAGAGGGUGACCGGCCACAUUGGGACUGAGAUACGGCCCAGACUCAUACGGGAGGCAGCAGUGGGGAAUAUUGCACAAUGGGCGGAAGCCUGAUGCAGCAACGCAGCGUGCGGGAUGACGGCCUUCGGGUUGUAAACCGCUUUCGCCUGUGACGAAGCGUGAGUGACGGUAAUGGGUAAAGAAGCACCGGCUAACUACGUG
rnacentral:rRNA from 1 species